rnacentral:ncRNA from 1 species
AUAUAAAUAGGGAAUGAAAGUCUCCCGUGACAUAAAUGUCUAAACCGCUAUAUGCUGAUGACUUCUGUAAUUGC